rnacentral:lncRNA from 1 species
AUGGUUUUGUCCCUCUGCCCAAGUCCAGCUCUCUCCUGCAGAGUUCCCUCACUCCUUCUGGGAGGGGUGAGGAGGUCUCCAUCCCUUCAGACACGAGGGUGGGCCUCACUCCAGGAACCUCCACACCAGAAUUGCCCAAGUCUCCCUGUCCACGUGCCCCGCCCACCCGCCCACGGCCCCGUGGCCAGCACAGGAGGAACUGGGCGCCCCUCACUCCCCCUGGCCCAGUCUCAUUGCUCAGGGACAGAGGUGAUACAAGGACAAGGGACUGGGACACAAACGAGGGUAGCAGGAAAGCAGCGCAGGGCGCGCCCCUGGACAGGGCAGCUGGGACACAGGCCCAGUGGAGGGACGAGCGAGCAGGGCCCUCAGCUGGGAUCAGGUGCACACCAGGCCGUGGGUGCCAAAAUGCACUUUCUGCAGUGUUCCCACGCAGGGCUCCAGGGCUCCGAGUCCUGCCUUUCCAACUUCCUGGGGGUGCUGGCCCCUGGGACUGUCCUGGGGGACCCCCACGGAGUCCCUUCUCACGUUCCCUCCCCUGACCCCUCCGCAGCCACAUGCUGCUCCCCCGUGGGGUUCUCAUCUCUGUGGAGAGCACACACCAAGCACACAGCGACCUCAGGAGCUAACAUUGUAAGAAAGGGAAGCUUCAGUAUUUCACCAGCAUCAGAAAAACAGAAACAAAGCACACAAAGAAGGCUAAAAGAAAAACAGGUAAGACAGAACCAAAAAAGGCUACAGGGACCGGCGCAGAGAGGGCUCCGUCAGAGAACAGUCCCUACGCAGCCGCGGCACAGGCGGGAGGCGGGGCCCCGAGGAGUCCGUGGCCGACUGUUGGACGCGGGGCUGGCCGGCUGCAGACCCGGAGCUCUGACCCAGCCCACGUCCAGCAGCUUUGGGAAACUUCCAGAAGCUGUCAAAGCCGUGAGCCGAGAAGGCACUUGUCCCGAGAUGCCACUGCAGGGCAGUCACACCUCGCGGAAGGUAAGUAUUGCAAUGGAAGGGCAGGGCUGCCCCCUGCAGACAGUCCUGGCGGGCAGCACUCCCAGCCUCUGCCUCUGCUCCAACUCCCGGGGUGUGCUGGCCCGGGCCCACGCUCCUUAG